UCUUCCAAUCUAUAAGAUAAAGUGCUAGGGAUGGAGAGAAUACAUUUUAGAGUAGAAGGCCUAAAACGUCUUUAGAGUGUAUGGUCAGAAGUUUUGGAUGCUUUGUGGCCUUGGAGCAAAGUUACUUUUAAAAUUAAAUGUUGGGGUGACAUUAUUUAAUAGGACCACAUAAGU